UGUUGAGGUUCCUGGAUCUUCAAAACAGAGCCUGGUAUCCUUUGGAAGGGGCCGAAACUGAUCAUUAUCAUUGUUGUUGAAAUAGGGUUUCAAAAGCGAGACAUGUACAACCGGAUGAAUCCUCGAUGACGACGGAAGGUCUAACAUGGCUGUAACUUCAACAAGACCAGAUCACCAAUUGCAAAGGAGGUGGCUAAUGAUUCGUCGUGGAUGGUGUCGGUCACAUAAGCUUGAAUGUUUGGGGGAUCCCUGCCGUAAAGUGCUUUGAACGGAGUCAUGUGGAUCGCCGUGUGGAAAGAAG